rnacentral:rRNA from 1 species
CACGUAGGGGACGAGCGUUGUCCGGAUUCAUUGGGCGUAAAGCGCGCGUAGGCGGCUCGGAAAGUCGGUCGUGAAAUGCCGGGGCUCAACCCCGGGACUGCGUCCGAUACUUCCGGGCUGGGGUGAGUAGGGGAGGGAUCGGAAUUCCUGGUGUAGCGGUGAAAAUGCGCAGAUAUCAGGAGGAACACCGGUGGCGAAGGCGGAUCUCUGGGCCUUACCUGACGCUGAGGCGCGAAAGCUAGGGGAGCGAACAGG